AUUUCAAUCACACAUUUUUUAAUAAAAUAAUACUACAUACAAAUUCAAAACUUUUCCUUAUUUUUUAAUUACACAUUUCCCAUUAAUACACUAUUCAAAAAUUCAUUCUUCUCAAAAAAAUGGGGCUCAAACAAUGGCAUAAUACAAUCACCAAUGCAUGUUUAUAAUUAAAUUCUUGGAAAAUUGUCCAUACUAUAGGCAUUUAGCAUACAACAAUCUAAUAGUGUUUCUCAUAGCAUUAACAAACUUGUUGGGGCACUAAUUCUUGACUUCUCUCUCCUCAUCUUGGUGUAUGGAGUCUUAAUAGAUGUUGUAGGAAAGCGAACAUAUGUCGAUUGUGGCCUCUUUGUGUUAACUAUAUCGUCGCCUUCAACGUGUACAACGGCUAUCACCAGUAUGUCUCGGACAUCGCCCAUACAAAGUAGUAUGGUGAAUUACUUAUCAAAAAUGCCAAAUAAUAACAUAACAUAGCCUACCAACAUCUAAUUAUUCGCUCAGGUACCUAAAAUCAAUAUUGUAGAUCAUUCUUUGGGAACUUACUUUCAGGUUGAACCAUAGCUUUAGAAGUGAGAAGGGUACUUUCCUCCAUGACAUCAUCCAACAUUGUUGUAUCAUCUGCAUUUAAGUUAUGAGAAGACAUUCAACAUUAGUUUUCAACUCAAUGUACUUUUAAUAUAUAAUCAGAAUUCAAC
rnacentral:lncRNA from 1 species